UCGUCAGAAUUAAUGAAAAGAGGAAGCCGGAUCGGAGAACGGCAUGCACCAAGACAUGCAGGUGAAAGGAAAGUUCUUAAAUUACCAACCCCAGUCAAGAGGAAGAGGUGGUAACAGGAGUUCUGACUUUCAGCCUGGCUGUGACCUGCAGUAGCUGGGCUAUUCAUCCCUUGUGCUGUGUUCCUCCUAUUCUGGCCAACUUACUUAGGGCUUUGCAAAGACAGCCUUGUAGCGUGGAGCUGCCUUUCAGCAGAAACUGAGGUCAAAUGAAACUAAAGAGGCACGGGUUCAACCCAAUUGGAUGGAGGAAGAUGUUAAACCACAUCCAAAAGGACCAGCUCCCAGGAAGCUUUCCCUUAGAGUUCUCCAAAUAGUCCUCCCUCCAAUCUGCUCCCCAUCUGCUGCUGGGAGUCACUCUGCCACCUGUAGAGGAUGUCUUUGAACAUGGUUUGAAAUGUGGUUUCCCUGAGGGAAUAAAGGACAGUAUGGAAUUUGUGGAAUUUGAAGAACAGUGAAGAUCAUCUAGUGCUGCCUCAACACCCUGAGGUGCUCUGUGCCACUUUCCAAGCAAGUAGUAGAUGGUUAAUUAUUUACUUGUUCCAUGGGCUCCUGAAGGACUUAGGUGCAGAGAGAAAUACAUUUCAGUGUUGUUUGCUCUAAGUACUGUAGUCUGUAAGUUUUAUACAGGUUUAUAAAUAUAAUUCUUUUUCCUUAAAAAAUCAAUCAAUCAAACAAACAAACAUGUUAUUUCUUGCGGAGAAACUCCAACAAGAUUUGCAAAGAAACAUCCCAAAUUGGUAUGUAAGCCGGUUGAUGUUUGGACAUGGCUGUGAAUACAAAAGACACAAGGGAUUCUGCAGUGAGACGGAAAGUAAUGAGCACUGCACACAUGCCGACAGCGCAGAUUGAAGAUGCUCCCUAACGUCUAUGUGCAUCCAUCCCAGCUGUACAAAUGAUGCUUUUACCCAGCAAGGUGGGCUCCAGGCACUCUGCACCUCCACUUGCUUUGUAUUCUGACUACAUUGGAAGGUGAGAAGACAUUAAAUUUGCCUUAUGCAACGCCACAUGUGACUGAAAUGGACAGUUUGACAAAGGAACAGCCACUUGCAUGGAGAUACGAUAGACCACUGGAAGGAGUUGUCCGAUGAGGACCAGCCCUCGGUCUCCCAGAAUGCCACUCUUCCCAUAGAAGCACACCACCGUCUACUGGAAGAUCAUCAGUUGAGCUUGGCCUAUUUUUCAUUUUGCCUCAUAAAAUCAGCCUUCCAACCCUUCACUCAUUUUUACUCUCUUUCAGCUCAUCCCUGAGAGUUCAACAUGGCUAAGAUAAUGUAACUUUUCAAUAAAACAUAAAAUAAUCGGUUCAUUUAUUCAUCAAAAGUCUCAGCCUUCCAGCUUUACGAUUUUUCUGUAUCUCCCAGUAAAAAUAAUUCUUUGCUGCUAU
rnacentral:lncRNA from 1 species